rnacentral:lncRNA from 1 species
UUUUUUUUUCUCUGUGUGUGUGUGAGAGAGAGAGAGAGAGAAGGAAAGGAAUGAGGCAUAGGGAGAAGGGUGGUAAGUUUUCAACCUGCUUAAGGCUUCGAAGGUAUGUUGAGGAUUUUCUUCUAGAUGAGUACCAUGCCAGCGAGUUGAUCUGCCAAAUAGUAUUUUAUUCUUUAGCAUGGACAAGUAAGUUUACCUGUAGCUUUUCCUAGCCUAUCCCUUUUUUCUCUCCCUGAGACAAAUAAUUUCACUGUGAGAUAACAGUAAGAAAAAAUCCUCUAAAAAUUUUGGCAUCUGCAUGCCUUAGGGUUAGCAAAUCAGGUGUGCAGAGGUAGAAGUGGAAUAUAAAGCAUGUCUCAGUGUUGCUCAUCCAUAGCCAGAGGUUUAUGAGGAAUAAAACCUAUCUGAAUUUGAUUUAAUACUGUGUGCUCCCUGACUUUCAUCUUGCAUUAUAAUCUUUAGCACAGAAAGGUUGAAUAAGAAUGCAACAGGAGUAAGCUGAGUGCUGCUUGUAUUGUUUCAGCGCCUUGGUGAAUUUCUCACCUGACAUUCUCUUUACUGGGACAUAAAAAUAUGAAAAUUUCUUACUUGGGAUUCAGCUGUAUUGUAACACAGUGCUUUUCUUGCAGACCGGUUUCCAUUUAUUUUAUGUUUUGCUUAGCAUUUUACAGGGAAAUUAGCUGAUGGAAUGUAAGAAAUCACUAUAUUGACAAUUACAUAAUCAGUCAGAAGGUAGGGUUAAUAGUUACAGUAUCUCAAAACAAAGCUACUUCAGGCUUUAAAGGUGUAACCAGAGCGCUGCCAAACAGAUGCUGUUCCUCUAACGGCACUGGGCUUUCUGUCUUUAUAAGGAUUUGCAGGAACUGAGUGGAAGUCUUGCUCUGGUAGGGGAUGCUGAACCCAUCCCAUAGGAAGCUGUUGAGAGGAAGCACAUGGGUGGCUGCAGGCAGGAACACAGUCGCUGCAAGUCACAAGUGGAACAAAUGCAGUGAGGAAGCAGCCGGUUUGCAUCGUGGUUGUUGCGAGGGCAUAGUGACAUUUUCUGGCAUAGGGGUUUGAUAGUGAACCAGAAUCAUGAAAAGCUGUGUUAUGACUGCAGGCAGCAAAGAAGUGGGUGAAGACAGGAAAGGGAGAGGCCAUGUGAGAAUGUACAGCCUGCAGAGCUUCCUGGAAGUUUUUUUGAUGCUAGACAUUUUAGCAUUAUGCUCCAACUUCAUGCUAAAUGUUGAAUGUAGCCUACAAAGACUUCACUCUCCUUCACAGGUUUUCCCUGAGAGCUCCUGUUUGUGGGGUUGUGUGAUUUCUUAAAAAUUAACCUACUCAAAUUUUGCUUUCCUAAUUCCCUUUCGGUGAAUCGGAGAAUCGUAGGAUGGCUUGGGUUGGAAGAGGCCUCAAAGCCCACCUAUUUCCGACUCCCCUGCUGUGGGCAGGGCUGCCCCCCACCAACUCAGGCUGCUCAGGGCCCCAUCCAACCUGGCCUUGAUACCUCCAGGGAUGGGCACCCACAGCCUCUCUGGGAAGUCUUGCUGCCCUCUGAGUAAAGAAUUUCCACCUAACAUAGAAAUCUCCCUUCCUUUUAGUUUAAAGCCAUUCCCUCUUGUCCUGUCACUAUCAAACCAUGUAAAAAGUUGGUCUCUUUCCUGCUUAUUAGCCCCUCCUUGAGUACUGGAAGAUGGCAGUGAGGUUUCCCUGGAGCCUUCUCAAAAUGUAUAAAUUUUAAGUAUCAUUUCUACUUUUGUUUGAAGCACUCCUGGAACUACUCUUUGCAUUGGCCACCUUGCACUUUCAAAAAUCAAAGACAUUUGAAAAAUUAACAGUAUGUAGUUGUAUCUACCAGUUAAUUUGCCUCUUCAGCAAACGAGUAUGAAUAACGUAAAAAAAACCUACCGAUAGAUCUUGAGCAACAUUUGAGAAAAUGUGUUUUUUACUGUAUUUUUAUUCACAGAAAUUACUGUAUUAGUGUUAACAUUAGUUUAUAAAAAGUCUCGCACACCUUGGGAAAACCUACAAUACACUGAUUUUCAAAAAAUGACCUCCAUGCAAAAACUUUGAACUGUAAGUGAGCAUAACUAUGUGUCUUCUGUAUAGCAAAUUUCAAAACCAAAUAGCACACUGUAUAGAAUUUUAUAUAUGGUUUUGAUUCAUAAGAAUGCUAGGACUCUGCUUCUUUCCAUUGCUUCAUUUAUGCCAAGAACUGUUCUAGUAUUUCAAGACUUCCAGCAACAUAAAACUCAAGGGAGAUUUUUUUUGGACUUCAAAGGUCCAAAUAUCAAAGUAAUGAUGUAUUUUAUGUUUUUCUUAAUAAAUAUGUGCAUGUGUUAUUAAUUCAUGUUUGAUUGUGCUGAGAAAUAUUAGGACAAUUAACACCCUCCAGGAAGGACAAUGACUUUGUUCAUGUCUGCAUUCAUUUUAAAGUAGCCAUCCUAACACUGCAUCUAGAAAGCCCUUAUGCCAAAUUGCAGAAUAAUGUUAACGUGGUAACCACCAUUUGGUGACUCUGGCCAAUGCAAUGUUGGGGUGUGUCAAUUUGCAUGAUGAAUCUAUAUGGGUCCAUAGUACAUAAAAUAUGAAAUGAUGUAUAGAGUGCUAUUUUUGUUGAAAUAUACAGGCAGCAUCUAAGCAAAUUGAAUGUUUACUUGCAUGAAACCAGUUCUCUUACACUUUAUGUUUAGUUGUAGAGUAGCCAGAUAGAGAGCUUUUCUAGGUUAGGUGCUUUAGGGCUUGUGGUUAGAAAAUAGCUUGUAGAACACUUCUGUUGUCAGUAGCCUGGAGGGAUGCAGGACUUCUUGUCUUUUUUUACUGACACACUUUGAGUCACAUUGUACUUUUUCAUAGAAUGCUACACGUGUCAUCAUGUACAACGGGUCAAACAUUUGUGGGUGUUGGUGCAUGUACCAAAGAUGCAUUUUGCCUGGAUGAUAGCUUGAUAAAUCAUUACCGUGUAGUUUCCAUUGUCUAUGAAGCUAAGCUAUAAAUUCCUUGGCAGUCAGGGUUACCUGGAGACUAAUAUAAAGGUUGCUAGUAUAAAGGUAGCCUGCUUUGUUAUUUCAGAUGUACAAGUGUGCCAAAAAGUGAGGCUAAUGGUCUGCAUUCCAGAGCUCAGGACAGAGCCAAAUCAGCAAACUGGAGACCUCUUGUCUACACUAUUCAUUCCAGCUGGUCAGGACUUUUUUGGUAAUCCAAUUUUUAUUUUGAAAAUACUGAUCUGUCACAAGCAAAUUUUUUUUCUGUAAAGCAUAGCAGUUUUCACAUAAUUUACACUGGAGAAAUAUUUAUUAGGUCCUGGAAGGAAUUAAUACUCCAAGCCAGGAGCUCAUGAUGAGAACAGCUUGAUGGCACGUAGGAGAGUGCUUUCAAGGCCCUGUUUCUUUGAUUAGUAUGAGUUUCUGGUGUCACAUGAGUAGCCUGCAUUACUGUUUGUUGGUAAAUCUCUUAUCCUUCCCUCAUUUAAUUUCAAGUCUAUAUGCAGUAGAGUGUUAAUAAUAAAUAAAUUCUGAUAUUUUAAUGGGAUAGGACAGGAAAGCCAUUUUCUGACCAGCUCUAUGCAAUAGGUAGUACAGUGGGUAUGUCCUAAUGCUGUGUUAGAAAUACUUUGUUUGUCUUUAAAUCUCAGCAAUGAGCUUCAUGAUAGGAGAGCGUGAGAAAUAAAAAUUCCUGAUCUGUGGUGACCUGGGCAACUGUAUCUUUCUCUUCCACACAUAUCUAAGCACAGAAGAAAUUCUGUGCUGCAGCAUACUGUCAAAUGAACUUCAUUCAUUUCUCGCUUUCUUUUCACUGUAUGUUUUGUUGAUACAGCUGAUUUAAACCUCUCUGAAAUGAAGGGUGCAACCACUCCUUUUUUGAUGGUGGUAAGGAUUAAACUUCUUUAUACAACCAGGAAGCUAAAACAAUAGUAGCCUCCGCCCUGCUGUGGAUUCUGGGACUGCUUAGUGUAUAGUUUAAGGUAAUCUAAACAGUUCAGAUGCAGUCAGGUUGAUUUCCAACAAUAAAAAGAUCCAGUAAGGUUAGUUUUCACAUACCUGCAUGUUCACUAGCUACUUCAUUUAUAAAGCAAAGUUUGUUGACAGAUUCUAAAGAAAUGACAAGUUGGCUAUGUAAAUUUGCAGAGGGAGGCUUGAUCACUGUCACUGAUUUAUGGCUAUCAUUGGCAUUUAUUUAUGACAUUAUUUGUGGCAUUUUUUAUGGCUAUUUAUAUUUCAAAAUAUAAAAUGAACAAAACAACUUAGUCUCCUUUCCCUUUGCACCCUGUUGCCUAGUAUAUAUAUCUGUAUAUAAUUUUAUUGGUGAUACUAACUUCCUUAAUAAAUGAAAAAUUACAUACCUUAUUUGAUACACCUUUCCCCAGCAGACUUUGUAUCACAAAUUACACUUUGGAAUAGUAAUUAAAUGAAGAAUCUAGCAAACUGUUGCUAGUUAGUUUAGUUAGCAUCAGUUAUACAACUCUGCAAGAACUUUGUGAGGAGUCAGCAUUGUUCUAAAUGGAGAUGUAAACCUCAUAUUUCUGUUUACUAUUGUAAUUCCUCAGGCUCUCAUUUUGGUUAUGCCAUAAGUAAAAAAAUAGAAUAUUUUUAAAUAGCAUUUCAUAAAAUUAAACUGCUGUCUCAAAGAGUGAAUGACAUGUUAGUCAUUCUUUUUAUUUUUUUAUUUUUAUUUUUUCCUGUUAAUUGAUUUAACUUGAAAGGGAAGAGAGGGAUAAGUUUGUAGUAGUUGAGUAAUACUCAGCUCUUAUGUCCCUGAUCACUCUACUGUGUUUCAAGCAUAGAUUAACAGAGGGAAAGAUCUGAUCUUCUGUACUAUCUCAGAAGAUGAUAAUUUGUUCUGACCUUUCUCUAAGUUGUGAGAUGACAUCAAUUUGUCUGAAAGUGGGGUGUGCAAAAUACAAGAGGUGGAGAGUGAAAUCAUGAAGAAGAAUGAGGUGACUGUGGAAAAGAAGGAUCAUUGGUUGUUUCCCAUCAUAACAAAGUCUCAUGAAAGUAUCAAAGUUCUCUUCAGGUUGUGAAAGUCACUGACAUGAUACUUGUAGUCUUGUGAACUGAAAUCUCUAGUUGGCACUUGUGCAUCUACAGUUUACUUAUCCUUAGGAAGGGGGGGAGGAGCUUCUUGCAUUCCAAGCGGUCUAGUAUUUCAGUUUUUACUGUUAUUCAUAGAUGGUAUGUUACUAUCUGAAGGCAAGAGAUCUGUUAUCUUAAUGUUAUACAAGUAAUAAUAAUAAUAAAAAAAAUAGUUUUUAUCAAAAUGAUUCCACUGUCUUUGAUGGACUCAGCAAAUGUCCAGGAGAGAAGGUUAUGCUGAUUUUUGAAAUAGCUUUGGCUUUUUUUGCACAUAAGUCAGAUGUCUAGAUAACCUUUCACAGCCAGAGGUCAGCCAUACAACAGCCUUCCAAACAUUACUGUCUUUCUUCAGGUGCUGGAGGCAAACCUGUAUUUCCUGGAUUAUGUGUUGAUACAAACAUUUGUACUGUUUGAUAUUGCCUCUUCAUUUACUGUGGCUGAUGAUAGAAAGAACAUUGAUAAUGUUCUUCGGCUGGUGAUUGUUCUUGUCAUAUGUAGACUCACACAACAGAAGUUUCAAUUAUUGUUUAGCUCCCUAAAUUUAGUACAUUCAAAUUUAGUCACUGCAAGACUAUGAUCACUGUGCAUAGACCUGCACAGCUUGGCAUAUCUAGUCUGCUUCUAGAUACUUCCAACUCUAGGUGUGCUCUUGGAAAGACUUAUUUCCAAGUUCUAUAUGCAUUGAAAAAGAAAAGGAAGAUGUUUUACCUCUUGGAUGCGUAUAGCUGUAGCUGGUUGUUCAUAUAGCAGUUUGAUGUUUCCUUGAGUAGAUAUACUAAAACAAAACUGGAGAAUGUCUCAAGAAAGUUCUAUUAGCACAAUAGGAUAUUAUGAAAGCCUAUAUUUUUCUUUUGAAUAUCAUAUGUAUGUAUUCAUAACCUAAUACAUUGGAAAGCAGUUCAUCACCAACACAGGAGAGAACUGUUUCUGUGACAUCUUGGAAGUUUCUUAGAGAUUCUAGCUGACGCUUUGCUCUUUGUAUGUUCUUAAUUUGAGAAGUUUCAGUAGAAACAUGACAGUGGUAAUAGGCAUAAUGUCAGCUGAAAAGAGAUGCCUUUUAAAUAAUCCACUGUGUUUGUUUCAGUAGACUAAUCGAAUCUUCCUGUAGAGUAGUACAGAAAACAGAUGAGUCCCCAUAACGAAAUGCAGACGAAGGCCAUUUGUCCUCUGAUUUAAACUUCUGUAUGUAGUUCUCUACCUAAUUUCAAAUUUAACCUAGAAGUAACUAUUUUUACUCUAAAGAGUCUUCUAAUCUUGCUGGAAUUCCAUAACUGCACAUUAAUAAUAGACUAUUUUUGGAAAUAGAGGCCUCUAGAAGUUUACUGAAUGCUAAAAGUCUUUAAAUUCUGGAUUCAUUGAGGCUGUCAGUGUAGUAUCUUCUAUAAUUGUAACUAAAUUUCUUGGUAUAUUAAUUCUCUUUUCCCCUCUGCUUCCCUCCCCUCUCCUUCCCUUCCCUCCCCUCCUCUCCUCUCUCCUCUUUCUUUUUCUUCCAGAUGCCAGCUUUAAAGCAAUUUUUAGCAAAUUAGGGUAUCUCCAAAACAAUCACUGACAUAUGAAAGGUUAACACCAUCUAUUGACUUUAAGAUCCUGAUUUGUAUUUCUUGAUGUCCAGCCUCUGAUUGUGACUUCUUUUGUUUUGCUGGUUUCAUGUAAAAUUCUAGCUUAUGACUUCACUGUUCACACAUAUUACGGCUUUUGUUACUAAGCAGCAGUGCAGAGUGAAAAUAAUGAGCAUAAAUUUACCGCAUUAACUUUGAGAGGGUACACCAAUUCAAUAAAUCUUACUGAGAUUAGUUAGUAAUGUGCCUAGGCUUCCUCACUGUGAGUGUAUAGCUGGCUAUGAGUUCAACUGAAUCAUAUGAUUAUCUUGUCUAUGGAAGGCAACUGCUAAGAAUGCAGCAACCAGAUACCAUAGUAUUCCUUUAAAGGGAAGUUAUUUAUUUGUUAGGCACACCACAUAUAUCAUCUGUUAGUUCACGUGCUCCUGUUUCAGCGAUUAAGUUCGACUCUUCUCUUGCUUGCUUCUGUGCUCAGACCAAGAGUAAGUGCUUGCAAGCUGUUUCUGUUUCUCAGUUUGAAUUCACCUAUUGCUUCACUGUGUUCCAGCAAUGACUUUGUUGCUGUGUUUGCAUACCAUCUUAAAAUAUUUUUACUUUUUUCAAGGUCUUUUAUGAAGCCAGCCUAUGAGGAGCACGGUUGUUUGUAAAAGUGUGUACAGUGCAAGAGUUCAGAGAACCGGAGAUGUAUAUGAACAGAGAAAGAAAAAGUUUAAUCUCUAGGAUGGUAAACUGUAGAGGCAAGUUCUAAAUUCCUGGUGAGUCAGGAAUUAAAAAAUACUGCUGUUGUGUCCUGAAAUAUUUUGGCAGGACCUUCCUAUAAAAAUACAGCUUCACAGACACCCCAUGAAUUUGAAAUUUAGUUCUUUUUUUUUUUUUUUAAGAACAGUAUUGAGUGAAGUCCUGUCUUCCAUGAGUGACUGGCAAAGCUUCAUGGACUCAGUGGGAAUUUUGCCUUACCUUCAGUGGAACUGGGAUUUCACCCUCCAUUUUUACUGCUCUUCUUAUUGAAGGAUUCUGCAGUGACUCACUAUUACUAGGUUUGAUACAUGUUCAGAUACUCGUGAGACACAGCGUUUCUAAUAGCUCACAUCAGUAUUACAGAACAACUUUUAAAAUAUUCUUCAUUUCCUGCCUUGAAACUUCUGUGGGAUUCUGUAAGCAGAGAUCUUCAGCUAUUUCCCCCUUAUUUCAAAGAAAGCAUCCUAAUCCUGCCAACACAAACGAGAACUUCAAUAAUGAUGAAUAUUGGACUUUUUAUUCUUCUGAAAAGUCACACCUGCGGUAGCACUCUUGUCAAAGAAUUUGGUGUGUGAUUUCCAGUGAGUUGCUAAGAACUACAGGAUUUCAGAGGAGAAGUUACAAGAGGUAUAAAAAUGAAAGAGAUCCUGAAGCUAGAAGCAAAAAUCCUGGCUGUAUGUGGUUAAGCAGAGCAGAAACAAAAGAAUUUGAGGAUUUGUUCUGCUGUAGCAAUUGCUGAAUUACUAUUCCCGUUCUGAAGUAGUUCCUCUUUGAGAAGCAAAUGUCCCAGAGAUGCAUCAGAUGAAAGAUUAUAAUAGUCUUUUUGAUUCUGUUAGCUUUUGCUGCUUCAUGUCUGAGUUCAGAUUUGACUGGGACAGUUCACUGUUGUGUCACGUACCAGUUUUUCUUAUUAAAAACAUAGCUGGAUCUAGGUGUUAGGAAAGUUAGGAAAGUUUUGUGAGUAUGAGGUUUGCCUGCACACCUAUGGCUGAAAGUAGUUUCAGUUGCAGAAGUGGGUGUUCAUUGCAUCACUUAGUAAUAAAUUAUGUUUAUAGACUCCUUCUUUUGAGCUUAUUGCUUAUAGUUUCCUUUCCAGAUCUCCUCGAAGCAGAAAGGCCAUGUCAAUAGUUAAUAAUUAAUUUUCCAUGUUGAAUUGUGUGGAGUAGAGCUAACCUUUGCAAGUAUUCCUACUGGCUUCAGUGGAGAUACAGGACGCACCCGUCAAGAAACUAAACAUGACAGUUAAGAUUAAUAAUGAAUUUAACUGAAUUUGACUCCUUUGAAAACAAAACAAAACUCAAAAAACUCUACUGAGUAUCUUAAAAGAAGGGUGUCAGUUGCAAUGGGAAGGAAUCAGAGUAGGAGUCCACAGCUCAGUGCCAAGGAAUAGCAGAGUGUUUACAUUGACUUACUUGCAGUGAAGACUUUGGGUUUAUAUCAACACAGCAGAUUGCAACCAGUUCCAGUUAUAACCUCACCGAAAUAGACCUCUACAGUGAAAGCACAUAUUCUGUGCACGUACAGCAUUGUGCUUACUGACUGUAGGAGGUUAAAGCCACUAAUUGCCUCAUGGCAUGGUUAGCACAAAGUGAGACUGAAGGUGCUGCUGUUUUGCUGUUAAAGAAAACAGAGAAAGACAACUACAGCUCACUUGAGUCAUUCUGUGACAACUGCAGGCUUCACAGUUUGUACCUUCUUUGUUAUUACAAAUUUGAGUGUUGCAACUCCCUUGACUAACAUUUGAUAUUUACCCAAAUAUUAACUGCACAUUUAAAAAGCUCUUUUAAACUAACAUACCAAGUGAGAAAAUUUCUUCUUGAAAUGCUCUUUUUGAUGCUGUGAAAUAAGUAGAUUGUAAAAAGGAUAUUGAGGUGUAAUAAUAUUUAAUAUUUCCUGGCACUUGGGGCACUUUUUAUGUUCUCUGGAAAACUUUGGAUGGAAAAGAAAACUGAAUGAAACAAUAUAGAAUCAUAGAAUCAUUAAGGUUGGAAAAGACCACAAAGAUCAUCUAGUCCAACCAUGAACUCAUUACCCAUGCCCACUAAACCACAUCCCUCAUAGCAACGUCUACCCUUUUCCUGAAAUCCCCUAGUGAUGGUGACUGUACCACCUCGUUAGGUCCAGCCCAUUCCAACACCUCACCACUCUUUCUGAGAAGAAAUUUUCCAUAACAUCAAACCUGAAUCUCCUAUGGCACAACUUGAGGCCAAUCUCUCUUGUCUUAUUACUGUUACCAGGGAGAAGAGGCUGACCCUCACCUUGCCACAACAUCCUUUCAGGCAGCUGUUAAUAUUAGUUGGCUGAAUUGAACUGUUUGGUUUCUUUUGAAGUCUAGGUACACGGUGCAUGUAAUUUGCUCUAAAAAAUCACGACAGUCACUUAAUAGUCACUGUCUGAAAAGAAAUCCUAGAGUGGCACAUAUUUAUUCUGCAGUGCAGAUCCUGGAUGCAUUUUUCUGGAUUUAUUCCAAUAUAAUGGAUACAAUCUGUAACAUAAUUGAAUUAUUCAUUCUUGUAAAAAUUUCAAGCACUUUUGUCCAAAAUAUAUACACACAGCACGGUACGUUGAAAAGAGAUGAGAGAAAGUGUUGAGUAAUACCUUAAUUUUCUGAGCAAUGUCAGUGUAUAUCAUGUACAAGUUCAGUUGGAAUCCAUCUGUAUUUGUGUUGGUUAUUGAUUUAUAAUGACUUGUUGAAUUAUGGUAUGAGAAUAAUUAUGUACUAUCAUGAACGCAUACAGAGUUCAAUUGCAGUCUUUGCAAUAGCAUCUAACUAUACUAGUUCUUUAGCACAAUUUGGAAAAAGUACUUUUAGAAAAAUUACACAGUCAUUGGUGUGUUAUAUUGUAACUUGUGUGCCCUAGUAUGCAAUCAUUAUAAUGUGCAUGUUUAUGUCGCAAAGUGAAAUGCUUCUAAGUCCAGUACCAAGUUCUCUGGCUUCAAUGAUACAGAUUCAGUACAGUGGUGCAGAAGUAAAAAGCUUAAAUGGACUGGAAUGUAAGAAGAAAUAAUAUUAUGCAAUAGUGGUAAUACAGUAAAUCUGUUAUGGCGAAUUUUGCUAACAAGAAAUUAUUUAUCUUAAAAGGUUAAGUUUUAUUAGAAGACUCAUAAAAGUAAAUGAUUAUUGGGAAAAUAUACAGGAAGAUAUAGAAUGCUUCUGUGUCACACAAAAGUAGUUGCUGUUACAGCUUAUGAGGAUUUCAGUAACAGCUCCGUUACUACCUAUGCUGUCUUUUCAAGGGGUGUCUAUGAAAAUAUUGAGAGAUAACUAUAUUAUCCAAAAAGUGUGUUUCUGAGAUAGGUCUUAACUAGGAGAAUGAAAGCUGAGUAGUACAUUUUAAAGAAAAUGAUGAUGACCAUCUUCUUUUAGGAAGAUGCUUCUCCACACUUAAAAUAAUUUGAGGUGGGCUUAAUAUCUUACUUAACAAAAAGUUUUUCAGCCUGUUGGCAGUUUUGGUACCAGUCAGCUAUACCAUGAGUUUUUUUAGAUAUGUUUCAUUUCAUCUCACAUAAGUGUGCUUUCAAGUCUGUAAUGCUCCAACCGUAUCUUAUAGCUGGAAGGAAAAUAUUCAGGGCUACUGGACGGAACAGCAGAAAUAUUUUUUUAUUGAGGAAAGAGAGCAAGUUAGAAUUAUUAUUAUUCAAUUAUUUUUGUCUUAAACAGAAUAUAAGAACCAAACUCAAUCAUGCAUUUAUAGAUUCUAAUAUGCAUAACCUUGAAAAUUUUAGAAAAAAAAAUAACGAAACCCUUCCUGGAAUAAAAAUGUUUUUAUUUUAGGUCUGAAAUGCAAGUUGUUACAAUUAUUAAUGUGGGAAACAUCCAUAAAAAGUUUUACAUUUUAGAAAGGAAAACUUUAGCCAAAAUGGUAUAUGAUCUAUCUGUUUUCACAGAGACUGAUGCUAUGAGUCUUUGAGGCUGGAACUUUUCACAGGAUUUUACCAAAAAUUUAACAGGCUUGAAUGAGUUGCCCUUGGCUUUCACUUCUUGAAGCACUCAGUAAUGAAGUAUUUUCAAAUGAAGAAAACUAAAUUGCUGUCCUGAACUGUAGGUUUUGAAUGUCUCAAAUCUUGAUGAAUAGGGUACUUCAUUAAUUAGUUGAAAUAGCUUUAAGCGUUAGAAUACAGUAAGAAGCCCUUUAUCUAUAAUUAAUCAUAUAAGAUGGUAUUAAAUACCACUGGAAGAAAUUAAGCCUUGAAUAGAACUUCUGAAGUCAUGCUGGAACAAGAAUAGGAAUGUUUGCAAAUUUUAGAUCCUUGUCAUUGUCAUCUGAAAAGUUUCACAGAAGAGGCAAAUUUACAUAAUUUGAAUAAAUAUGGGAGUUUGAAAACAAAAGAUGGGAUUAAGUGGCAAAUUCAUGAGUAAGAUCCUGGCUAAAGCUGGAAGCUUUUAACUGUAAAAAGAGCAGGACUUCAAUCUUGUCUGUUUUUAUGGAUCCAAAAAGUAUAUUAAAUCCAGAAUAAUGAGCUCAAGCUUUUUUUGAAUCUGCACCAAAAUGUGCUGCCAGCUAAACCAGUUUAAUAGUUGUCAUUGAGCUCUGAAAGCAAUGCUGAUUUAGGGUGAUCACAGCAUUUCCUUGGCUUACUGCAUUCACCGUGUCUUGAAUUCAACUAGCUCUUAGCCCACCUUCAUUAUCAAGAAAGGAAAGUAGUAUUAGGACAAAACCAUUGGUAAAAUGGAUAUUGGAAGUUACAAAGAAGAAGCUUUUAACUAUUUAAAAUGAGAUGAUUAAAAACAGCGUUCUUGACAUGAUAGUCAUGGCAAGAUGAUGGUGACAAGAUUGUUUCUGGAACAGAGUGUGGCAGUUUUGUCCAUGACAAACAGGAAAACCUAGAAAAUUAAGUUUAUGAUAGGAAACCUUAGAUAUAUAACGUGUUGGUAUCUCUCAGUGGGAUUCAUGAAGGGCAUACUGUUGUCUGUUUCUACCUUGCCUAAUUUCAAGAACCUCAAAAAAAGAUUUAACUUUGAAACAUAUUUUCUUUUUUUUUUUUCUCUUAGUAUUUAAGAAGUGUCGCAGAAGCAUUAUGUGUUGCAGCAAAAUUUCUAAGUCAUGGCCUGAACCAGUGAUUAAGCACCUGGUGGGGAGGCAGGGCCAACCCUGGGGAGCUCAGGUGCAUGCAGUGUUCCUGAGUGACUGGAAGGGGUGGAGCCGGGAUCCACUCCAUCUCAGACCUCAUGUAAGGGUUGGCAAUGAAGACAAGGGUAUCACAGCGGAGGUUUCUGUGUGCUUGUGGCCUUUUAAAGGGAAGCAGAUUCUUUUCUUUGUUUCUGUGUCUGUUGCAUUUGAGCAAGUCCUCACUUGCUGCAGCCUAGGACUUGGCUGUCAUUGCUGCGCUUUCCAUCCUGUUACAUGUGUCCAGGUUAUGUUGGUUCUGCUUCAGUCAUUUGGACGUAUUAGGUGUUUCAUAUUUAUGAGUUGUUUCUGGGGUAAGGGAGUGUUUAUAACCCCAGUUGUAGUGGCAGGGAUAUGCUCUGGGUCAGUACCACGCAGGAUGGAAGGAGUUUUUGUUUGCUUGUUUAUUUAUUUAUUUGUCACAGAUACUUAGGUUCUCUCUGAUUCCCUCCAUCUCUCUAGUAUCUUUCUAUGGCACUUUAGAGGUAUUGGCUUUGCAAAAUUUGUCUUUCCUUUCCUAUCACAUUCCUGAAAAUUCUUUUUUUCUGGAACCUUCUAUUAAAUGAAAGACCAGUUAGCUCAAAGUGGGCAAAAGACUACUGUGCAUCUUAUUUGAAGAAGAUUAGAGAAAUUUCAAUUUAACUUCUACUGUUUCAUCUCUCCUGUUCCCAGAUAUCAGUACCUCUCUCUCCUCUGUUCUUGAAUCCAGCUAGUCUGCAGUGAGCUGCUGUGAUCAUGCCCCUCACUAGAAGGCAUCCUGAAAUGCUUUCUUUUGCAUUUUCAUCUAAAUUUUGGAGAAGCAGGACACAGUUUCAUAGAAUCCCAGAAUAUUCUGUGUUGGAAGGGACCCACAAUGAUCAUCAAGUCCAACUCCUGGCUCCCUGUGGCACCACCCAUCAUCCAAAUGGACUCUAGCAGCUCAAGGCCAUGUCCACUGCCCUGGGCAGACCAUUUCAUGCUCACCACCCCCUAGUAAAGAACCUAUUUCUAACCCCCAACUGACACAGCUUCAUGCCUAUGGCUGCUCCACAGCUGCAGCUCACACUGAUGGGCAUCAGCUGAGUUGUGCAUUCUGCAGUGUAGCCCAUGAGUGGAGGGUUUCCCUGCUCCCUCCAGGUCUGAUUAGCCAGGUGGCAACUUGAGAUGUGGGAUCUGGAAGCACUUCUCCCAAAGAGAGGCAUGAAAGUAUGUGCUGAGAUGAGAGAUGUGGCUGUGAAAUGUGCUAGGGGGAAGACAGAAGAAUAGUGACAGUUCUAGUAGGAAGGUUGUAUGUGACAUGAAAUAAUUGCUGCUGGUAUAAGUGUAUGUAUCUAGGCCAAAACCCUGGAGAGGACUGUGGAAGGGGAAAACCAGACUCAUACCAGUGGGCAGAAGGUCUCUUCUGCUAGACCUGGCUGUGGUGGGUGACAAGGUGUCUGCUUUUGACAUGUAAUAGCCUGUGAUGAUGUAAACUUUAAGGAAAUCUGUUGUAUAAUUUGUGUGAAGAGUAAUUUAAAUGUACCAUGCUAAAAUAAUUAACUACCACAGUAGCUUAUGGGGAGCAGUAGUUAAGUUAUGGAUGCACAGGUAUUCUCAGAGUUACUCUUAGAAUAGGAGUCCAGUUGAAAAAAGACAAAGAAAAAUUAUUUUUACAUUGUUUAUGAUGCAGCAGCUUGGUGAUUUUUUUUUUUAAUUUGGUGCAUGUUGCAUGCAAUGCAGUUGGUGCUUUAAUUAGUCCUUUGUACGUGUGGAAAUAUGAGUGGAUAUGAAGUUUGGUUCAAAACUACCUUAGUCUGUUGCCAAAAAAAAUAGUGUUUCAUCUGCAGAAUGCCAUUUAGAAGGAAUGAUUUCACAGGAUGCCACACAGAUGCUGUUGUUGUGCAUAUCUGACAAGAGCUGUGAAUUUCAUGUGGAACAGAAAUGUUUUUCUUCUGCUCACUGUUAAACUUCCUACAUGAAGCAUGUGCUUAGUAUUUAGCAGAUUUUACUACUUUAGUUUUUUCAGUGUGUUACAGAAUUCAAACAUUGCCAUGCUAUGAUCCUUUCUUCCAACCAGAACCUCCUUUGCUUCCUCAGCCCGUCUGUACUGCGUGCCACGUGACUGGAUUGUGUAUUCCUCAUGUCCAUGACUUCAGAUUCUUACCUCUAGUUUGGAUCAAUUAAUGUAUAUUAUGGUGGUCAUGGCCUUCUUCCCAUUUUACUUGGCUAAUGAUUUGUCAUGUGCUCAAGUUGAGAACUUGUCUUGAAAACAGUCCGUCUUAUGUUGCUGAAGUCCCUCACAUACUGCUCAAGUACAUUUGUUCUUCCAUGUGACAUGUUUCUUAGCAGAUUAAGAGAGAAAAUAUCAGAUGUAAAAGAUCCUAUGAAAUCUUCUUUUGAAUACCCUUGGAGCCAGUGCAGUAGUUUGUGUUCAAAGCUCUGGUUGCAUUAUGUUCACAGCUCAAUUUACCUUCUUCUGGAAUAGUUUUUGAAUGGAUCAUCUGUACUUUUGCAACUUAUUUCUCACUUAUGCUUAUGUGGGAAUGAAGGGAAUAGUGGAUGUUAUUUUACUCUUGUACAAUCAUUUUAUUAUAGCUGCAGCAACACAGUCUAAUUGAAAGUCAGAAAGCCUGCAAAGUCCUUCUGUCACCUUUCAAUCAAUUUUGAAAAAUUGUCUGUCUUUUAAAGAAACAGUUGAGCUUCUCUGAGAGCAGUGCCUCUAUGUUAAUAUAGAGCGAAGGGAACCAUUUUGCAGUAUGUAUGGUCUGCACAGCACUGCUGUGAAAAUAGCGUAUAAGUUCUUGGCAUCUGUGCCCCAGAGCACAGGUUCUGCUGACUUCCAAGUAGGCACCAUGCCAUCUGAACAGAUGGGUAUUAAUGUAAGCGUUGGAUAUAGACAUUAUGGACAUGAUUCUCAGUUCCAAAUUUAUAAGAAUAUUGUCAGUCCUGAACUCCCACCACGGGGUGUAAGGGAUAUGCUGUAAAUCCAGCUCAGUGAAGAAUUAGCUUUAUAAUAUUAGAAAUGUAAUUAUUGAAUCAACUCUAUCAUUUUCAGUAUUGGCUUAUGGUAUGAAGUUGCUCAGAGGAACUUUCUUGUUCCCAUGAGGAACAACCAAAAAAAAAAGUAUCCAUGGCAUUUACCAUUUUCACAUGGAUAAGUUAUAUUGUGAAGAUGUGCUGGAAGAAAAGAAUGGCAUGAUUUUUCUGCACACACAGAUGGAGAUUCACUGGGAAUCUGAUUAAUAUCAUUUAGCUCACCAUGUCUGUCUAUCCCAAUGCGUAAUGUGACUGUUUUGUUUGCCUUUCUUCCCCUGUGUUUUUCUUGCAAGCCUGUAUAGUAGAGUUGAUACUUGCUUUUUUAGUCCUUGCUCAUAACAAGGGGAUCUUUGGCUUUCUGGGUUCUAAACAUUCUUCUGAUUCUUCCAAGGACUCCUCUAGAUUCCAUUGAACUGGAUUUCAUCUUUUCUGCCAGAGGUUUUGUGAAUCUUGCCAUUUUCUGAAAGAUUUUUGCCUGCAAUGCCUACUCUGCUUCCUAACUUGAUAUGCAACAAGAGAUAUCUUGAGCAGUCUGAUGAGAGGUGAUCUGAAUUCUGAAAUUACAAAGCAGCCAUGGGAUAACAAAUGAUGGCAUCUCCAGUUGUACUGUGUAACUGGAAACAGUGUGAAGUGAUGUGGCUGGUCUCAUUUACAAUCAUGUAGCAGGGAGGCUGUGUUGGAAUUCAGAUGUGGGCCCUAUCUCUGAACAUUCUCUGGUGUUAAGGAUAUGACCAAAAUCCCAUUCAUUUUCUCUUUUCAUAACACUAAGAGAUUAGAAUAUGUAUUUAUACUGGAAGUCAGCUCCUUUUUGACAUGAUCAGAUUAUUUAUCUUUUGCAUCCUGCCAAAAGUGAACAUAAUGCCAUUUGUUUGUUUUCUUGGCAUUUCUAAACUAUCAUUUAAAAUAAUGUCUUUUGGGUAGUGUCAGCCCCCAAAUUGUUAGUUUUCUUACAGCAUGUCUAGUCCGGAUAAUUUCAACAAAAAAGUUGAUGUUAGUGGGAUCAUCCACUGAGGUCUUGGCUCUCAUUCAGUCUGCACAGAUGUUCUUUAGACUCUUAUCCUGUCUAGAUAAUAGGAAGCAUGCCUAGUAAGCGACUGUGGAGCAUGUUAACAUAAUUCAUGUAAUUCGCAGUACCUCAGCAUUCUGCCUGAGGCUGCAGAAUCCAAAAAUAGAACCACAGAUUCUGUACAGCUUAAUCCUACCUGCUUGGUAGUCAUUAUCUUCUUAAUAAGCAACUAACAGUUACUGUUGCUUGUGGAGAAUCUUCUAUUCAAACAAGCGUGCUUUACAUUUGGGAAGUGAUCAGGGACUUUGUCCAUGUUCUGUGGCAAAGCAUUGUGGAUGAAAGUGCUGAUACUAAAACGUUCAUUGUUCUUAGUAUUUCUAUUUUAUUUUGUGUGAAGCUGGAACAAAGAGAAACAGAUGCUGGUUAGUUAGAGAGGAAUAAAUUAAGUGAAUAAAUAAUGUGGAAUAAAUGCAGUGAUUUUUCUUAUAUUUUCAAUUAAGUUUUUAGUUAGGCAAGGGUGUUCAAUAAGGGUCUGACUGUUUUCUCCUUAAGGAUAUGCAGGUUGUAGAGGAAGAUGUACAGUUGGCCUUCUCUGCAGACAUUCUUCCCCCUACACCUCUGUUCUUCAUAGGCAGCACAUCAUGCUGCUAUCUUGCUAAGAGCUUGUUCCAAGACAAAAAAUAUUCACUUGUGUUGAAAUGAAAAUAGUACAAGAGAAUGGAAAUAAUUUUAUUUUUGGCAGUAGUUUGAGAAACAAGAAACUAGAGUUUGAUUUCUGCAACUUCUACUGACAUCUUUUAUAAUUCUUAAAUGCACCUAGCUAUUAAAUUUAUUUAGCUUUCUGGUACUGAUUUUUGUGUGCUUCAGUGUUUUUAACAGGGAGGAUAUGGUUUCCUUUGUCUCCUUCUAAGUUCACAUAGCGCAGUGAAACUCUCAACUUUGGCUUGAGCCUUUAGGUCAAGCAGUAGUACAGCCUACACAUGAUAGGAGUGGAAGGAGGGGAGGGAGGAGGAAAAAAAAAUGAAAUAAUAGCAUUUAUGGAAACAACAACAAGGCUGAAAGGGCAAGAAAAUCUUUUCAGUAUAUUUAGAACAAUUUUAGAAUAACUUAAUCAUCUUGAUCUGCAAGGGGAGUUCACUGUUCAAGAAUACGUAUGUCCUGUUUGCUCCAAUUGUUUCUUUUUGAGAAUAGGACCUAGAUAUCUAAAUUACUUAAGCAUUUUUGAAAAGUUUAAUUGCUUUAUGGAAGUGGGUCAGUAUACUGGUAGCAUAGCAGCUAGAGCUAAGAAAUACAGAAUUAAAAUUAAAUUAGUACUUUUAAAUUCAGUGAUGUUUAUUACACGUGCUAAAGAUAUAGAUAAAAUUAAAACCUUUGUAUGUAGAUAUAUAUGCAGAAAAAAUUUAUCUGCAUAUAUUAGCUGGCUAUCAAUGACAAAAUAAUUUGACUUUAUUUUCCAAUAUUUAAAAUUUUGCUGUGCAUGUUGAAUUACUUGAAAGAAGAAUGAAGGCAACUGUAUGGAAACUGUUGAGUCACGGCCUGGACCACUGAUUGACCACCUGGGGCAAGCACUGAGUUAGCCAUGGGAGCACAGGUGAAGGCAAUUCAGCUGUGUGACCAGAAGGGGGUGGAGCCUGGCUGCACCUCUCCUAGACCCCACUUAAGGGCUGACUGCCACUGGGGAAGGAUCUCUUUCUGGAGAUUGCUCCCUUUGGGGUUUUCUUUUGUGUGCCUACAACACAGGUGAGCAUUUCAUUUAUUUUUGGCUUUCCCUUUCCACUGUGAUAAUCCUUUUAGUUAUGACCCGACAUAACUGCGCCACUUUGCUGAGUGUAUAUCUGUUGAUUGUACAGCAACCAAUGUGAAUUAACUUUCUGCUAUUUGUAUAUAUUGGGAAAACUCUAGAUUUUGGAAAGUGUAUGCUUCAACGAGAGGCAAAAGAGAGCUGCACUGGAAGGUGUCAGUUACUGGUGUUGUCCCUGGACUGUGAUUCCUUCUGAGACCGAGUGUGCUAGUGAUUACCUAGACCAAAUUUUAACUGCUAUAUUAAGACAACAUUCAGGACAUCUUAAGUAUUCAUAUUCUGACAGCUGAGCCUCUUUUCGAUUCCUUCUGUAGGUUCCUAAUAUAUGAGCCAUCCAAAACCAUUAGCCACUUUUGAAAAGUUCUCCCUACUUGCCUGAGGAUAGUAGGGUUUUAUAUGGCACAUAAAGCUAUUAAACUUGCUGUUACUUGUUUCUAAAUAUACUAGGUUACAACCUAGAAUUUUUAGUCCUUGCUCUGUUUUUCUCAGCUUGUACGUUUUACUGUUAGUAUUGGAGUUCAAUAGCUUUGACCUACCUCCAGGUGAAGGUUAGGGAAUGCCUCGUUGUCUAUAGCCAGCAAGCCGAGAUUUUGUCUCUUCAAGUAGCAGAAGUUGCACAAGCAUACUUAAAUAUAAUUUUGUUUGAAUAUAUCUAUUUGAUCAUUGCAUCAGUUAGCAAAAUGAUAUACACCAGGUCUAGUCUAAAGCAAUAUAACAGCAAACACUUCAUGCCUCAAGAUGGAACCUCUCAGACACUGGUGGGUUGCAUUGACUCUCAUUGAAAUAUUACAUGUAAGUGAAGUUAGGUUAAAGUCUGUGAGAGGAGGCAUGGUUCUUGACAACCACCCAAAUAUAAAGUGAAUUUAAUGGAAAGAUAAGUUGUAUUUUAUGUAUUGUUUAUGAGGUGAUUAGUUCCUAAAUAUGUGAAAUUGAUCAUCUAACAAAUUUCGUACACUAGCAUCUUCUUCAACUCAGCAUGCUUCUGUUUUAACACCUGGAUCACAUUCCCAUGGAAACUGGAGUUUCUCUUGUUCCAUUAUUUGCUUCACCAGAAUUUAUCAGUUCCUGAUAUCCUUUCUUUUUCUGAAAAUAUCUCUUGUGAAAGUUCACAAGAUCACAAAUAAUGCUGUAAUGCUUUGUAAGUCUAGGGCGUGCCCAUAGUGUGUAAUAAGCUAUCAUCAUACAGAGAAUGAGUCUCUGCUGCUAUUCAGACCGACAAGAACACACUUAGAUGGUUACUGUUUUAUUUUGUACUGUUCUUCUGUUGUACGGAUGGGUAUGAUUAAAAAUUUCUUAAAAUUGUUAACAAGCAGCAUACAUUGAGAGAACUGCAGGGGGAGAAAAGUAAAUCACACUGCCCAAAUUACACAAUUUCUUCAAAAUAGAAGCAUGUUCAAUGUGACAGAUACCCUGAUACCUGGGAGCUUUUAUGUGGCUGAAGUUACUGAAAAGGUAAUAGGCUGUUGUAGUUGGAUAGCCAUUUUCCUGCCUUGGUACCUCAGAUAGCUUGGCUUGGUCAGUCGGUCCCUGUGAAUGUUCUGUGGAGAAGUUCAUGAGAAGGAACUCAGUGUUUGGCAGGCAUGGGCAUGCAAAAUAUAAUAUUUUUCUUUUCUAGAUGGUCUAAAUGACUUGAAUACCUGAAGCUAUAACAUUAAUAAUAAUCAUGAAAUAACUUGAAGGGUAAGGUUUUUUUCUUUGGAGCUUUGGAAAACUUAUUUUAGCGAAGCUGGCUUGCAAAUGUAUUAUCAUGAGAUCUCUGAAAACAUGUCAUGGAAGCAGGUUUUACGUGUUCUUCUGGAAGACCAGUGGUGCUGUAGGAUAGGCAUAGAAUUAGGCAAAUGGUUGCAUUGUUUCAAGAGCUGACUAAGACCUGUUUCUGUGUUAAUGAAAGAAGGCAUCUUGGAAGUACAGUGAUCUUUGAGGACCUCUAGAAAGCAGGCUGCAAAUAUAAGUUAGCAGUAUGCUUCAGGAAAUGCAAAAUAUUUAAGGAACCAUGUUGUUUUCCUUCAACCUACAUUCUUGGUCAUCAGUGAGUCUGUAUCUAGACUCAGACCCAUCAAAUACUUAGUCGUUGUAGAAGUCUUGACGUAUUUAUUGUGCUACAUACUAAAACUAAAUCAUCUGAAAAAAAAAAAGUUUAUUUAACUUCUAAUUUAUUUAUUUAACUUUAUUUAACUUAAAUUUAACUUCUUUUUUAAUAUCUCUGGGGUAGAAACUUAUUUGUCUGGUUUCCUGGAGUAGCCUAUUUCUUGAUGAAAGUAUCGUUAUGGGAGAACUGUGUUUUUUGUUUCUGUUGCCCAAGACUGUACACCUGAGCGUUCACCCUCACUGAAAAAACAGACUUCCCAAGAGAUAGCAGCAGCCUACUCAACUGGUAACAGGACUCCACUGGCAUAACAGCUCUUGAGUUCUACUGUGGGCUGCAGUGAGUGGUGCUGCCUGAUGGCUCUGCAGUUUAUGGCAUUUAUUGGGCAAGUGGCCUGGUGUUAGCAAAAUGAAAAAUAAUUGCAAAGGGUUAUAACUGGUAAUCUUUUUCUUGAUAUCGAGCAGUUGAAUUGUGCUCAAACUGACAGCACACCGUAAAUGUAUGAACUAUGGAUUCCUUAGAAAUAGUGAAGUCAGAAUUUUGAUCUUUUUUCCUUGAGAGCGAUCCUGGCUGA